AAGAAUUUUUGCUGGUAAAAUCUGAUGAAAUGUCAAACCAUCAACUGUUCUGUGUUGUCAAAGCAAAUUGAAUGUUGAGUAAAGAAAAAGCAAACGCACCCCUGCCUUUCCAUCUUAUUAAAGAUCUCGGGAGGAAGAAUUGUCAAACUUGCUUGGACGUUGGAUGGCAAAAUCAUCUAGACGGCUUGGCUUGGCUAGUUGGAGCUAGCGUUUGGGGUUGUUGUUGGCUGCUUUCGCAACGUUGUUUUCUGUUUUUGUUUUUUACCGGCAAAAUGCCAUGA